AGAAUCAACGCUGGCGGCGUGCCUCAGACAUGCAAGUCGAACGCGAAAGUCCCCUUCGGGGGCAAGUAGAGUGGCGCACGGGUGAGUAACACGUAGGUAAUCUACCUUUGGAUGGGGAAUAACAAUCGGAAACGGUUGCUAAUACCGCAUAAUGCAGCGGCACCUAAUGGUGACAGUUGUUAAAGCGGGGAUCGAAAGACCUCGCGUCUGAAGAGGAGCCUGCGGCGGAUUAGCUAGUUGGUAAGGUAAUGGCUUACCAAGGCAACGAUCCGUAACCGGCCUGAGAGGGCGUUCGGCACGACUGACACUGACAUACGGGUCAGACUCCUACGGAGGCAGCAGUCGGAAUUUUGGGCAAUGGGCAAAGCCUGACCCAGCAACGCGCGUAGAAGGAUGAAAUCCCGUCGGUACUGUAAACUUCGCGAACGAACGGAAGAAGUAAAGUUAGGGAACAAGUAACCCCCUAUACGAGUAGACGUACCGUUAGUAAGCUACGGCCUAACUCCGUAGCCAGCACGCCGACGUA
rnacentral:rRNA from 1 species